ensembl:ncRNA C45E1.7 ncRNA
GGUGGACGGCAGACAAUUUUUUCCGGCAAAUCGACAAAUUGCCGGAAUUGAAAAAUUCCGGCAAAUCGGCACACCUGCGAAUUGCCGAA